rnacentral:rRNA from 1 species
GACGAACGCUGGCGGUGUGCUUAACACAUGCAAGUCGAACGGUAAGGCCCUUUCGGGGGUCCACGAGUGGCGAACGGGUGAGUAACACGUGAGUAACCUGCCCUCAUCUCUGGGAUAACAGUCGGAAACGGUUGCUAAUACUGGAUAUGAGCUUGCAAGGCAUCUUGUGGGUUGGAAAGAUUUUUUUUGGUUGGGGAUGGACUCGCGGCCUAUCAGCUUGUUGGUGAGGUAGUGGCUCACCAAGGCUUCGACGGGUAGCCGGCCUGAGAGGGCGACCGGCCACAUUGGGACUGAGAGACGGCCCAAACUCCUACGGGAGGCAGCAGUGGGGAAUAUUGCACAAUGGACGGAAGUCUGAUGCAGCAACGCCGCGUGCGGGAUGACGGCCUUCGGGUUGUAAACCGCUUUCAAUUGUGACGAAGCGUUUUUGUGACGGUAGCAGUAGAAGAAGCACCGGCUAACUACGUG